UACGUAGGGUGCGAGCGUUAAUCGGAAUUACUGGGCGUAAAGCGUGCGCAGGCGGUUCUCCAAGUCCGUUGUGAAAGCCCCGGGCUCAACCUGGGAAUGGCAGUGGAAACUAGGGGACUGGAAUCUGGCAGAGGGGGGUGGAAUGCCGCGUGUAGCAGUGAAAUGCGUAGAGAUGCGGCGGAACACCGAUGGCGAAGGCAGCCCCCUGGGCUGAGAUUGACGCUGAUGUGCGAAAGCUAGGGGAGCGAACGGG
rnacentral:rRNA from 1 species